UAGACAAGGUAUCCCUCUGAGGAAUCACACCAUCCAACAGGCCUAGAAUCACAUGAAUGGAAGCCAGGUUCCAGCAAGGACCCAUUCUUGGAGUCCAGACAGCCUGAUGUUACUUUCUCUGCUGUUGGGAUCUGUCUUAGUCAGGGUUUCUAUUCCUGCACAAACAUCAUGACCAAGAAGCAAGUUGGGGAGGAAAGGGUUUAUUCGGCUUACACUUCCAUACUGCA
rnacentral:lncRNA from 1 species